GUGCUCACUUCGGCAGCCCAUUUACUAAAAUUGGGACAAUAUAGAGAAGAUUGGCAUGGCCCCCAUGCAAGGAUGACACGCAAAUUCAUAAAGCAUUCCAUAUCAAA
ensembl:snRNA U6 U6 spliceosomal RNA